AAGAAAGUGGUCAUUCAGAAAUUCCACAUACUUUGCAGAGGUCAUCUUUACACCUUCGGGGACCCUAAAGGGGCCGACCAGCUCUCUUCCCAUGAUUCCGGCCCAAAACAUGACUCCACCACCGCCUUGCUGACGUCGCAGCCUUGUUGGAACAGGGUGGCUGUCCACCAACCAUCCACUACUCCAUCCAUCUGGAUCAUCCAGGGUUGCACAGCACUCAUCAGUG